UACGUAGGGGGCAAGCGUUGUCCGGAAUGAUUGGGCGUAAAGGGCGCGUAGGCGGCCUGGUAAGUUUGGAGUGAAAGUCCUGCUUUUAAGGUGGGAAUUGCUUUGAAAACUGCUGGGCUUGAGUGCAGGAGAGGUAAGUGGAAUUCCCGGUGUAGCGGUGAAAUGCGUAGAGAUCGGGAGGAACACCAGUGGCGAAGGCGACUUACUGGACUGUUACUGACGCUGAGGCGCGAAAGUGUGGGGAGCAAACAGGAUUAGAUACCCUGGUAGUCCACACUGUAAACGAUGAAUGCUAGGUGUAGGGGGUAUCGACCCCUUCUGUGCCGGAGUAAACACAAUAAGCAUUCCGCCUGGGGAGUACGGCCGCAAGGUUGAA
rnacentral:rRNA from 1 species